GAUGAACGCUGGCGGCGUGCCUAAUACAUGCAAGUCGAGCGAACGGACGAGAAGCUUGCUUCUCUGAUGUUAGCGGCGGACGGGUGAGUAACGCGUGGAUAACCUACCUAUAAGACUGGGAUAACUUCGGGAAACCGGAGCUAAUACCGGAUAAUAUUUUGAACCGCAUGGUUCAAAAGUGAAAGACGGUCUUGCUGUCACUUAUAGAUGGAUCCGCGCUGCAUUAGCUAGUUGGUAAGGUAACGGCUUACCAAGGCAACGAUGCAUAGCCGACCUGAGGGGGUGAUCGGCCACACUGGAACUGAGACACGGUCCAGACUCCUACGGGAGGCAGCAGUAGGGAAUCUUCCGCAAUGGGCGAAAGCCUGACGGAGCAACGCCGCGUGAGUGAUGAAGGUCUUCGGAUCGUAAAACUCUGUUAUUAGGGAAGAACAUAUGUGUAAGUAACUGUGCACAUCUUGACGGUACCUAAUCAGAAAGCCACGGCUAACUACGUG
rnacentral:rRNA from 1 species